rnacentral:rRNA from 1 species
ACGCACGCUGGCGGCGUGCUUCACCCCUGCAAGUCGCACGGAAAGGCCCUGCUUUUGUGGGGUGCUCGAGUGGCGAACGGGUGAGUAACACGUGAGUAACCUGCCCUUGACUUUGGGAUAACUUCAUGAAACUGGGGCUAAUACCGGAUAGGAGCUCCUGCUGCAUGGUGGGGGUUGGAAAGUUUCGGCGGUUGGGGAUGGACUCGCGGCUUAUCAGCUUGUUGGUGGGGUAGUGGCUUACCAAGGCUUUGACGGGUAGCCGGCCUGAGAGGGUGACCGGCCACAUUGGGACUGAGAUACGGCCCAGACUCCUACGGGAGGCAGCAGUGGGGAAAAUUGCACAAUGGGCGGAAGCCUGAUGCAGCAACGCCGCGUGCGGGAUGACGGCCUUCGGGUUGUAAACCGCUUUCGCCUGUGACGAAGCGUGAGUGACGGUAAUGGGUAAAGAAGCACCGGCUAACUACGUG